rnacentral:rRNA from 1 species
GAUGAACGCUGGCGGCGUGCCUAAUACAUGCAAGUCGAGCGAACAGACGAGGAGCUUGCUCCUCUGACGUUAGCGGCGGACGGGUGAGUAACACGUGGAUAACCUACCUAUAAGACUGGGAUAACUUCGGGAAACCGGAGCUAAUACCGGAUAAUAUAUUGAACCGCAUGGUUCAAUAGUGAAAGACGGUUUUGCUGUCACUUAUAGAUGGAUCCGCGCCGCAUUAGCUAGUUGGUAAGGUAACGGCUUACCAAGGCAACGAUGCGUAGCCGACCUGAGAGGGUGAUCGGCCACACUGGAACUGAGACACGGUCCAGACUCCUACGGGAGGCAGCAGUAGGGAAUCUUGCGCAAAGGGCGAAAGCCUGACGGAGCAACGCCGCGUGAGUGAUGAAGGUCUUCGGAUCGUAAAGCUCUGUUAUUAGGGAAGAACAAAUGUGUAAGUAACUAUGCACUUAUUGACGGUACCUAAUCAGAAAGCCACGGCUAACUACGUG